rnacentral:rRNA from 3 species
UACGGAGGGUGCAAGCGUUGUCCGGAUUUAUUGGGUUUAAAGGGUGCGUAGGCGGUUAAUUAAGUCAGUGGUGAAAUCCUGGAGCUCAACUUCAGAACUGCCAUUGAUACUGGUUGACUUGAGUACAGACGAGGUUGGCGGAAUUGAUGGUGUAGCGGUGAAAUGCAUAGAUACCAUCAAGAACACCGAUUGCGAAGGCAGCUAACUAGGCUGUAACUGACGCUGAGGCACGAAAGUGUGGGGAUCAAACAGG